rnacentral:rRNA from 1 species
GACGGUACCUUAAGAAUAAGCACCGGCUAACUCCGUGCCAGCAGCCGCGGUAAUACGGAGGGUGCAAGCGUUAUCCGGAUUUACUGGGUUUAAAGGGUGUGUAGGCGGACUGUUAAGUCAGUGGUGAAAUCUCCGGGCUCAACCCGGAAACUGCCGUUGAUACUAUCAGUCUUGAAUUCUGUUGAGGUGGGCGGAAUACAUCAUGUAGCGGUGAAAUGCUUAGAUAUGAUGUAGAACACCGAUUGCGAAGGCAGCUCACUAAGCAGCGAUUGACGCUGAGGCACGAAAGCGUGGGGAUCAAACAGGAUUAGAUACCCUGGUAGUCCACGCCCUAAAC